rnacentral:siRNA from 1 species
ACGGUUGGUUAGUAUUUUCGCUCA